UCAAAAGUUAAGGAUCAAAGCAAUUAUAAAUUGUCCAUCAACUUCACCAUAAUGGAUUCAAAGAUAUCGGAAUGUCCGGUAGGAUAUCGAAAUGUCCAUCCCGAACGUAACCGACUCGGGCCGAGUGCUACCGAGUAUCUCACAUGACGGCACUACCUUGAAAUGGUUUUUAAAAAUUAUUUUAAGCUGCGGACAAUGAAUUUGAAUAUUGUUCUUUGUUGGGACUCCGUAUGUGUGCACGUGAUUAUUUUAUAUAUUCAGUAUUUUGGCAUUUGAGCUCAUCUUCUAGGACAUGUUGUAAAGGAAAUGUUGGCUGCAUGCGUCCUUCACUUAGAUCAUGCCAUUAAGUCCCGUUCAAAACCAAGGGAUAGGAGACCAUGAAUUACCUGGCGUACUACUUGGAGAAACUGACUCAGUAUUCUGCAGAGUAUUGCAGGGAAUAGGGGAGACACUCUUAGGCCCAUUAUCAGGGGAGUGUGCAGUGCUGUGUCCACUAUCAGUCGCCAUUCUCUCGCUAUCAGGUGAGCUGUCUUCAUGGCGGAGCCUCGAGUGACACUUCCGAAGCACCAAAUGGGGCCUAGAUGACCCAGUGGCCCCUGCUAACUCCUCAGCCAGCGACGGAGUCGAAGUUACUGCUAUUAAAUUUGCAGACAUGAAAACAAAAUAUUGGGACUUAAAAUAUCGAGAUCUUGUGGAUUAUCAGUGUGUAAGAAAUGGGGAAGUUUAGAAAAUGUCUUUGAAAUGUACGUUGUUAUGAGGAAUACAAAAAAACUUAUGAAACUAACUUCUUCCUAAUCCGCCGGAGCUCAUGGGAUUUUAUUUCAAAAUGGUAAUUUACCUAUUGACAGACUGAUUAAGGCUAUGCGAAAAAAUAUAGCGAGUGCAGGAAAAGUCCGAUAUAGUCAAGCCUAUGAAAGUGGUUCCUACGGUGCAAUGAAUAUUUUUUUGUUUGGAAUAAAGGACAUACAUGAAAAAUAAUUGAAAAACGACUAAUAUUGAGAUUUUAGAAAAUUUAAAUUUUUUUCUACUUUUAAUAAACGGUUUGUUAAUUAUCGUGAAAUGGUACAUGAAUAAAUUACAUUCAAUCAGCAGUCUAGCAAAUCGGAAAUGAUUAAACGAAAUUUUUAUAAACUCGAAAAAUAUUGAGAAUGGUGGAAAUUAUGAUUAUUGGAAAAUGCUAACUAUUGCUUCAAAUCCCACAAACGGGUGAGGACUCAUUUUGAAAAUAAUUUUUUUGUUUAACGCCAAUUGAUAAGUAUGAGUAAUUAUAACUGUUACAGUUGUGUAUUUUUUAAAAUUUUAAUUCCAAAUGAAAACUCUGUAAUCUUUUAUUUUCACGACGUUCUAAUUUUGUCGAGAAAUUAUGUUUUUAGAAAAUGAAACCAAAUGCACACCGCAGCGCGUUGUAAUGAUAAGCAUGUUGAUUGGAAAUCUCAAAAUUGAAUGAGUUCUGAAUCCAAAUGAGCCACCUUAGACAGUUGUGAACGAAUGAAGAGUGAGCGUGACAAACUAUGGAGAUACGUAUAGUCUCGAUGUUUCUUCUUUUUAUAGUAGGAUGUACUUAUUCGCGCACGUAUGCGUAAUUUUUAAAAAUUUCCACUAAAAAGAAAUAGCGUUGCAACUAAAAAACUAGAUGUUUGCUAAAUAAUUGGGAUUGUUUGUGACCAAAUCUGGGCGAAAUUCCAACUCAAUCAGUUGAAUAAUUUUUUAUAUUUAGUUCAUAAACUAUGCAAUUAAAUUGAAGUAGAUUGACGCCGAAAUGAUAAUAUCUCUCAAAUCAAAUCGGAAUAUGCCAACUAAAGAUAACUCGGUGGUAAUUGGAAUUUUUCAUUUUUACACAUUUUUGAUAAAAUUCUUCUACUUAUGAUUACGAAUUAAAUUUGGUGCGAUUGUAGGUUUCAUCAUUAUCACAAUAUCGGAUGAGUAUUUUUUGAGAUAUUAAUUUUUUUAGAUCUUUCUCUCGAUAUCUUUUAAAUGACAUCAUUAAGAAAAAAUAGAGGUGACAAUCUACAAUAGAGACUUUUCUUGCCGAUUGAGCGUGAAUCUGCUCAUGUUCUAUCCUUUGUGCGUAAUGUAAAAGUUUAUUUUAGCCACACCACGUGGAAAAUAGUCAUUCUAUACCCACAUUUCCAUAUCAAAAAAUGCACUUUUAACGUGGUAUAACAAAAAAAUCAACACGAAAAUCUUACAUUUCUUGUUUUUUGGAAUUUCCGGAAGUCGCCUCCGUUUUCUCUCAUUUCCACUACUACCAGGACGAUUAGGAUGAUGUUCUGGCGUCGCCCAGGAUCCCAAACUCGAGCAGGAUCCACCGACGUCGCUCACCAUACUGUCACGUCCCGUCGAUGGUAGAAUGCCAGUUAAGUUGGUGUAUCGACCCCUGCUGCUUAGUCCACCGAACAAGCUAAUUGUAAAAGCCCAUAGGCAUUUCGAUGUCAGUCUAAACUACUUCAUGCGCCACUAUUUCUUCGGAAUGUAUUACACUCAUCAUUAGAUCACAUUUGUUCUCUCGUUCUGUAGUGAAAUAACAGAUUGAAAGCUAUGAAUUCAACUCCUGUAAUUUUCCUCUUUACAAGAUUUUCCUAUCAUUUCACCCCUGUGCUUUUAAUUCUGUAAAAUAUUAGUUUGUAAAUAUCUCUGAGGAUGGGCUUUAACAAACCAGUUUUUUAUAAAUGUCAUCAACUAUGCGAUGUGGGAAAUCCAUUGUAACUUACUCUAUAAUCAAUACUUUCCGAAAUAAUAACGUAAAGAAUGGAACUGUG